UUCUUGAAGCUGCAACAGAAGGGAAAACAAGAUUUGGAAGGCCUUACACUGGCAAUCAAAUGACUGCUUGGCCCAGAAGUGACUCCUGUUGCUUCCCACUCACAAUUCCUUGGCUGGAACUAAUCACGUGAGUACAGCGCUGUCCACCCAGCAGCCAAGAAAUCCCUUUGAUCCUGGAUGCCUGGGAUACAGCUUUUGGAAAUGCCCUUGCAUGAUGAUGGAAAAUGAGAGCGGAGCUACAAUGUCCUGUACCUUCUGCUCAGAGAAGUCACAGCAUCACAGAGUCAGAGAACCCAACACAAUUCAAGAUGCUGAGGCCCAGAGAGGUUGGUUACAAGACCCGCUGCACCUCACACCUGAAGAGGGCGCUGCAUUUGGACCUCACCAAUCCUGACUUCAGAUCUUCUCCAGUUGUUCAAGGAUGUUGGAAACCCCAGGAAACAGAGGUUGGCCCUGGAACAUUUCAAUAAAGAUGCAGCCCGCGCCCCUGGCACAGGAAGCAAGAGUCAGUGACGCCUUCAAGGAGACUCUGGG